UUGAACCUGCUCAGCCAUUUUAGAAACAACCUUCCAGGCUUCUUUCUUCGAGUUUGCAGCUGAGAACGAAAACAAGAGACUCUUCUCUUGGUGGGAACCAACAGAAACACUGGGAUUAGAAACCCAUUUCAUAUUUUCAGCCCUCAUCCAGUGCCAGCUGGAAGCCAAAGAACCCCGUGAACAGUCAACAGAGGUCCCAGUGAGCAGCUGGAGUCUCCCUCCUGUCUGGACCCCUGUGACUGUGGCAGCUUGAUCCAAACCCCUUGGAGACCACAGACAGUUUUACAAACUAAAUUAAUCUACAGUUUUUUCAUCAGGUGUGCCAGUAGAUGCAGAGCAGCUCACAAGGGAAGUCAACUCAGUUCUUGCUGGUAUUA